UGCAACAUUUGUGCCACGUGGAAAAAAAGUUUUUUAAUUUUUUUUAAAAAGCUUGAAUUUUCUCAAAAAAGAAAAGAAAAAAGGAAACCCAUCCCAUCUCCCCGCAACCACCCCCCACAAACCCAGAACCCUUUAUCCCCACCCACACCCGUCCAGCUCGUCUUCCCCCUUCUUCUCGACGACCCACCUGAGCCAGAACCCCGACCCUCCUUCCGCCGCACCCCCCACGACCUUCUCCCCACCCAAGAGACCUCAUCCUUCUUUCCUCCCCCCCCCCAGCUCGACUCAACUCCAUGCGUCCGACCUCGCCCAAAACCUAGAUCCCGACCCCUACCAUCUGCAACACCCACCCUCUUCUCCCUCCCCCAUCCGUGCCCUGCUCGUUAGCAAGUCAAUCGGCUCCAACAACAAGGAAGUGCUGAUAUGCUGAUUUUCUGGGAUUUUUUUAUCUUUGUAGGAUUUUUGGUCUUUGAAAUGGGUACGUGUUGUUUUUAAUGUUUUGAUUCUCGUGUGUUCUGUUCUUCAUUGCUUCGUGAUUCUAAUUUUUCACACACAGCAAGUGGAGAUGGAUGUUUGAAUAAAAAGAAGAGUUUGGCCAGGUAAUUCAGUUUUCCAAUAACUGGCAUUUGGUUUUUUUAAAUAUUUAUGCAGGGAGAAAUGAGUUAUAUACUUUGAGUUCCUUACAUUCUCAUUACAUGUUACCCAAUUUAAAAUUGUGACUCACAUGAAAGUGGAUAUCGACAAGAUUUGUGUGUUUUAAAUUGUAGUGUCAUGUUGGCAUUAUUGCUUAUUUAAGAAUGCAAGUCUAUUUUACAUCUAUCUAAUGUCUUUAAUUUUGAUCUCCAUAUUAUUCAAUGUUCACUAAUGCCUUUAAUUGUCCUCUGUUUUACAUCUAUCGAACUGAUGACACCACGUCCACUGCACAAGCCCCAGAGAAAAAUGUAUCAGCUUUUGACUCAAAUUCCAACUAUGCCUCAUCACUCUGAAUACCAAAGCAACCCCAAGUAAUUCUGGAAUCAUUUUUAUCAGUUCCAAAAUACAACAUGUAUAACUCAAUCUCAAAUUUGUUCAUGCACAAACUUCGCAUCAAAUUCAUAGUUUUUUAUUGCUCGAUGUUC